GACGAACGCUGGCGGCGUGCUUAACACAUGCAAGUCGUACGGUAAGGCCCUUUCGGGGGUACUCGAGUGGUGAACGGGGGCGUAACACGUGAGUAACCUGCCCACAACUUUGGGAUAACGCUAGGUAACUGGAGCUAAUACUGGAUAUGUGCCCCUGCUGCAUGGUGGGGGUUGGAAAGCUCCGGCGGUUGUGGAUGGACUCGCGGCCUAUCAGCUUGUUGGUGGGGUAGUGGGCUACCAAGGCGGCGACGGGUAGCCGGCCUGUGGGGGUGACCGGCCACAUAGAGUCUUAGGUACGGCCCCGACUCCGACGGGAGGCAGCAGUGGGGAAUCUUGCACGAUGGGCGCCAGCCUGAUGCAGCAGCGCCGCGUGCGGGAUGACGGCCUUCGGGUUGUAAACCGCUUGCAGCAGGGACGAAGCUUUUUGUGACGGUACCUGCAGAAGAAGCACCGGCUAACUACGUG
rnacentral:rRNA from 1 species